CCUACGGGGGGCAGCAGUGGGGGAUAUUGCACAAUGGGGGGAACCCUGAUGCAGCGACGCCGCGUGGGUGAAGAAGCGCCUCGGCGCGUAAAGCCCUGUCAGCAGGGAAGAAAAUGACGGUACCUGAAGAAGAAGCCCCGGCUAACUACGUGCCAGCAGCCGCGGGAAUACGUAGGGGGAACGCGUUAUCCGGAUUUACUGGGUGUAAAGGGGGCGCAGGCGGCGAUGCAAGCCAGGAGGGAAAGCCCGGGGCCCAACCCCGGGACUGCUCUUGGAACUGCGUGGCUGGAGUGCAGGAGGGGCAGGCGGAAUUCCUGGUGUAGCGGUGAAAUGCGUAGAUAUCAGGAGGAACACCGGUGGCGAAGGCGGCCUGCUGGACUGCAACUGACGUUGAGGCCCGAAAGCGUGGGGAGCAAACAGGAUUAGAUACCCCAGUAGUC
rnacentral:rRNA from 1 species